CCGUUAGCAGGUCCGUUACAUGCAUCACCGGAGCUUCUUUGGGAGAAUGAAUGCCCUUUUUCCCAGAAGUAGCACGUGAUUCCGCUGAGAGAAGCACAUCAUAAUAGUUUGAACGUUCUUCGAAAUCACGAUGUCUAACAACAGUUGCAAAACCGCGGGCAACCAAAAGCUCAGCAACAUUGACUCCAGCCAACUGGUUGCCUGCAGCAGAUGGAGCAGGUGAUGCAUCAUCCCCAUCUUUGGAUGCCAGGAAUACAGUUCCAAAAUCCAUCACCUUUGAAUCUGCACUACUGGCAGGAGCAGCAGGUCCAUCUGCCAUGUUGACCUUCCGAGAGUACUCCAUUGAAACAUGCACCUGAAAAGAUAUAAGGUCAGUAAUCAUCUCUUUCCGAUUCUGUAACUCUAAAAUUAGAAGAGGAGAUAUCAGAAAAGAUAGCAAUACCUGUUUUCCAAUAAGGCGAUUUCUCAAAAAUUCCUUUGCUUCACGAGCAUAUGGAGCAGGUUUCUCAUCUCUACGGGGAUUUCCUAUUUUAGGAGACCUAAUACUUGAAAGAUUGACUCUUCGCUCUGCUGAUGGAUCUCCAAAUGGCAGCGAAUCAUCAGCUAUAACAAGACAAUCUCCACUGACAACCUCAACCACCUAGAAAAAGCCAAGAACAAAGCAUUAGAAGAGAGAAAGGGAGAGGAGAAUAAGAAGUUAAACAACCUUUUAACUCAUAGCUACCUUUCCAGUGAAAUUUUGGUCAUGAAUAGCCUUGGAAUUUGUUGCUGGAGCUACAUAGUUCGUCCAGAUUCUUAAGCGUGUCUUUUUGGCAUCAAGCUCAGCAUUUUUCAGCUUCUUCUUGGCUUCACCUUCCAGCAUGUUUGCACUCCAAUCAACGUAUUUAGCAUAGCCCUAUGCAAAAGGAAAGGGAAGGGCAUAAACAAUAGAUUAGAUUGACCUUAAAAGUUCUAAAACCAAAAAAAAAUGCAUUUCCUUUUGUACAAUUAGGAGGAACUAGACAGUCACCGUCAAGUAAGUUCACUAAUUGAAAAUUAGAUAUGAGCCUAAUAAACAGUCUUUAUUCUAUAACUUCAAUUUCAUAAAAGAAAAGUUAAGUGACGAAAGUUGCGGCUAGAGAAAGUUAAUACAUUUAGGUGAAAGAGGAUCCCUUGCGCAUCCACAUAAAGGAACCAAGAGAUGGUACAAAAUGAGAGACAGAUAAUGCCCACUGAAUGUAAUGGCAAUAAAGACUAUGAUGGGGAGCACACACUAAAUGUACAGGUAAUAGAGACUAUGAUAGGAAACAGGUACAUAAUGUACACAUAUGCAUAAUAUUGAAGACUGCAUUUGUACCAACAAUGACCAGCAAAAAGAGGGCACUAACUGUGUUACUAAAUGAGAUAUAAGCCACUUAUGUUGAGCAUAUCAAUGCAUAAAAUUCUGAAUUACAGAAAAUCAACAAGUAAAUAAAUAAUCUUUACAAGACACAAUCAACAAGAAAUGCCCAUCUAUGGUUAAGAAAUUUUCCAAUUUCAUGGAGAAACGUCAUAAAAAGACACAAAGUAAGCCUGUGUACCAACUACAGUGACCUUUUAACAGCUUCAGUUUCUUAUUAGACACAUGUUCUAAAGUAUCAAAAGUAGUAUGUAUAUCACGUACAUUUUCAAUAAGCUCCAAUCCCAGGUCCUUUGCCGAUUCUCCAUCAGGGUAGUACACUGAGCCGAUUAGAUUGCUAUACUUGUCAACACCCUCCAGGACAAUUCGAACCUGUAUGUUAAACUACAUUAGGAAAAGGGUAAAUAGGAAAUACAAAUCAUUAAGAGCUAACAAAUAGAAUCUCACAUCUCUAUUUAAGACACGAGUUUCAGUAAAAUGCUUUGCUUCUCUGCCAUAAGGAUCAGGAGAAACUUCUGUUACAGAUGCUGCUGAAGAUGUCAACCUCUGUGCUGAUGUCGGAGUUGCACGAGGUUCAGUAAUUGAUUCUCCAUUUGGGUCAUCAGAGGUAACACGAGUAUUAAUGACAGUUUCUGAUGUUGCUCUUCGUCCCAUAGUUGGUGCCUGUUUAUUGAAACAAAAGGGUAAACGAACUGGUAAACUAACAAGAUCUGGUCAAAAAGAAAAUUUAACUUGUAUUGCAUUAACCUGUAUUCCAGCAACGAACACUUGAAUGAACUGGAAGUCUGGAAGCAAAUACACUCGCAGCGUACUUCCAUCACGAACCUGCUCAACAAAUGCUUCUAUAAGCUUACCUUUACUUCGCUCCAAUAGACCCAUUGCAUCAAAGUUACUAGCAUCACCGAUCGCAGAUGUAGGUAGAUUCCUAAUAGAUGCCUCAGAAGCACCAGGUGCCUGAAAACAGCAGAAUGCCAGGAAUUACUACGCUUGCAAAAAUAGGAAGCAAAAAAAACAAGCUUGAUCGCAAUAUGUGGAACACUGAACUAAAUGAACAAAGAUACUAUGCAAAAGAUCCACCAGCCAACACAAACCACAGUGACAGGAACUACCCAUAAGAGAUUACAGUUUGGAUUAGAUCUAGACAUUUAGUUGAUGGUUUUUCUACUUGAAAGGAUAACAAGUAAAAGGAAAUGAAACAGGAUCAUCUGGAUACCACCCACUGCUGCAGCACACAUCCUGAAGUGCUACCAUCAAAACUCAAUACAUUCUAGAUUAAAAUCUUGUAGCUCAAGGAGCAUUGCAGAAAGAAGCAGACACUAAAUGGAAAACAAACAUGCUCAAAAACAGCUCGAAAGUGUAAGGGGUCAAAAAGGAGAAGUUAACGGCUUCAUAGUGUUUCAGUCUGCAGAAAAAUAUCAUCUUCCUUGGCUCAACCCAUCUCAUCCAAAAGAAGGUAAAAUGGUGAAGUUCACAAUAAUUGUCCAGUAAUAAAAACACAUCAGAGACGAUGAGAAACACACCCUACUCCAACGACCUAGACCUUGUUGCUUGGCUUGUUCUUCAGCAUCUUGCAGCUGUUUUAAAUAGGGAUUAGCAUCUUUCUGUUGACCCUGCUCCCUGACCUGGUUCCAUCAAAAAUAAUCAUUUCAUGAUACUAGAUAUAAUGGGAAACAAGUCACCUGAGAAACAGAGAAAUUAACACCAAUCCAACCUUGGCCCAGCCUGCAGCAACAACUAGCAUGGAAACGUUCUUGUCACCAAGAAAAACAGUGCCAUAUUCUCGCCCUAUGGAAGGUACAGCAUAUUCCACCUUGAAAGUGACCUCCUAAAGAAUAAAAAGGAUGCAUUUAAAUCUAAUACUACUAAAAGAAGAAUAUAUAUAGAGAGAGAGGGAGAGGAUCAAUGCAAGGACACCUUUCCAAUGCAAAGCUUCCUCAAGAAGUCUCUGCUUUGCCAUGCAAAUGGCUCAUCCACUCCACCACGACGUGCCUACAAGUGGAAAGCCAGAAUGAGUAAUGAAAAAAGAGAUACAAAUAUAGGAGCAAUUUGAAAAUAUGGAUCAUAAAAAAGGUAAGGUUUAUUAGUGCAUGUCAUACCAAUCGAGGAGCCAUUAGAGAUCCUAAGGUAAUAGAUUUUUCAGGGGGGAUUUCAGCCUUGGAACUACCCAUUAUAACCAAACUGUCACCAGAGGGAACAGCUUUCACUCUUCCCUUCAACCAUCCUGUUGAUGCCAUUUCAACUGCUAAAUGCCUGAGAUUAACAAUCCAAGUGAGGAACACAAUUCAAUCGAGGCAGGAAUCAUACUGCUGAAACCAAAUGAAAAGUUCUCAUCAACCAGGUAGACAUGCAAAAACAAAAUAAGCCACAGCCACACUUUUCGAGGGCCCUCUCUUUUGGUAAAGAAAAAUCAAAACCUUUAAUAUGAGUAAGACCGAAUAACUAAAGAUUUGGUAGAAUAACAAGAUCUUACAUGGACAAAGUAAAUGAAAUCAAAACAAAAAAGAUGAAUUUUGUUAUAGAUCUCUGCGGAAGUAAAGUUGUUGAAAUUGCUAAAUAAAAUAACAGCCAACUUAAUUAUGUUCUAUAGAUUUCAACUUAUCUUUCAUAACAUCUAACCAUAACUACUACUUCUAAUGACUCGUGAAAAUGAAACUAGAUCAUUGUCAAUUCCCAAGUCAAUUUCUAACACAGGUAGAUAUACCAAAUAAUCAUCCGAAAUAGAAAGUUAACUUUGUCUUUGAGACUUUCUUAAUGCUACUUUUGGGGGUUCAUCUACUAUUGUUCUUAGGUUGUACAACUACUUCACGAACAACAAUUUUUGAAAAAGAAGUGCUGUAUAGAGGAACUUGCACCCUAAAUUCUUUAAUUUUCACAUCACGUGGUUCAUCACUACCACUAACUUCACCAUUCAAUGAACCCAACAUUUCUAGUUUCAACAAUGCUCGUACUGUGAUUAGGACAGUAAAAUUUAUACCCCUUUGAUUUUUCUGGAUAACCAAUAAAGAAACCACUAAUUGUUUUUUAAUCUAAUUUCUUUUCUUGUAGAUGGUCAAUUCGCUGGGCAACCUCAAACAUGCAGGUGCCUUAAACUAGGUUUCCUUCUGAUCCAAAGUUCAAAAGGUGUUUUUCGGUCUUUCUUACUAGGUAACCUAUUUAACAAAUACACAACCGUUUUACAAGCAUACCUAUACAGUGAGAUGGGUAAAGAUGAACUACUUAACGUACUUCUACAUACUCCUGAUUAAAUCAUUUAUUAUUCCACCUUUCUCUCUUCCCUUCACUACCUCUACUGUCAAUCAUUCUUUCUUCCUCCUUUGUCCCAUAUGCAGCUAUACACCUACAUUAAAUUGGUACUCCCUCCGUUUCACAAAGAAUGGUCUAAAUUGACUUGGCACGGAGUUUAAGAAAAUAAAAAAGACUUUUGAAUCCUAUGGGCCUAAAUUAAAGUUAUGUCAAAUGUACAAAAUUGUCCUUUAAUCUUGUGCCCUUAAACAUGCCACGUGGAAAGCUGAAAUUAAAAUAUUACCAAAAAAAAGAAAGAGGUCAUUUUUUUGAAACAUACUAAAAAGGAAAGGAGGUCAUUCGUUUUGAAAUGGAUGGAGCAUUAUAUGUUGCAUAUUCAAGUCGUUUAGCAUAUUCCCUCCUGGUGGUGGAGGUGAUGGUGGGGUGGCGUGGAAAGGGAAAAGGAAGUGGAAGAGAAGAUGGUGGUGAACGCAAUGGUGACAAUGUUGGUAGGGAAAGAAGAAGGAUGGAGGAAUAAAGAGUGAUUGUUGUAGAGGUAGUGGCGAGGAAGGAGAAAAAAGGAACAAAAAGAAUUAAAAAGUCAAAACUAAGGAGAAGGUUCAAAUUUACCCCUAAAUUAUGCGAAAGGUUCAAAUUUGUCCUCCAUUUAAAAAAAUUAAUCAUUAAUCGCAAACACAUGGCAUCAUCGGGUGCUAUUUCGUCGUUUGAAAAUAAGGACAAAAUUAGCUCAUUUUAGUAACGACGAGUCACUCCACUCCAUAAAUAUUACGCACAUAUUCUUCUGUGAUUUUCCAUACCUUUUGGGUCAAAAAUGUGCACAGCUAGUAGGGUUGUGCCAAUUUUAGCAAAUUUGACCCUAAUCAUCAACGGGGAGUAAAUUUUUCCAUUUUCCACAGUUCAAGUGCAAAUUUAACCAUUUGUCCUUGAAAGAAUUUACUUCAAAAUGACCACAUAUGUUGGUGUGUAUAAUUUCUAGAAGCUUUGUGCUUAUGUGGCUCUUUUCCUUGUUUGUUUGGUUUGUUCUUCUCUAAUACAAUUGACAUCAAAUAUUAUAGUUCCAUAAAAUUCAAAUUUGGAAGGAUUUCUUUCUUUCUUUGGAUGUGUGACCUAAAGGUUCAUGCAACAAGUAAGCAUUGUGUUCAUUCACCAAACCACGUUUAGAUCCAACAUUAUGAUGCACAGUUGAAAAGGAUUUUGUCAAGUAGACUAUCAAGAUUUGGUUUGUACAAACCAUCACAACAAAUACUCGAACCAAUGAGAUGAUUAUAUGCUUAAACAAACUAGAGCAUUCAUUGUCUAAAUUUAAAAAGUAUUCAACUUUCCUAACUUAGACAUGAAAAUUGGAUUUCUUGAAGAAAAAAAAGGGUACAUAAUAAGUUCCAAACAAGUUUAAGUGAUGCUAGUAUCUAGAACUAAACUAAAUGUCUCGAUAGCUUCAAAUAGAGUGUUCACUUUAUUCUCCAUGUACCCAAAUCUUUCAUUUUGAUUUAUGAUCUUGGUUGUAAGGAAUUUUUGCAUUGUGUUAGAACCCCAAAGUCAAUCCACCAAGUACUGUAAGGUACUUCAAUUAGAUUUAAUUUAAGACACGUAAAAGCACUAGGUUAACCUUUCUUCUCAAACUGAACAUUACCUUUCAAGUAAUAUUUCUAAAAGUGCUAGGUUCUCCAUGGAAACGACACUUAACAUUCAUGUGUUCUUUCUUACGUAACUAGAGAGAUGACUUGUUACAUUAUGUUGCCUCUAUUUACCCUUGCCGUGUUUUUGUCCUCUUUUUAGCUCCUUGAUGGCUGACAAGGUUAAUGAAGUGAGGUUUUUUAUUCUUUAGCCUUGUUUCCUCCAACACCAACAUUUUGUGCAUUUCAUGCACGUUCCAUUGGUCUUUCAUGAUAUAGUAGUUCAUUUAGAAAGGCCUAAACAAUAAUGAGUUAAUGAUGAAUUUCACAAGGAAAUUCUCAUCUACCUCCAUUUCCAAGGUCUUAAGUCUUAUUGUUAUAUUUGUCAGUUCAAUGACGUGCUCAUGCAUGGUACAAAACCAUAAACUUCAUCGUCAAGGUACCCAUUAGUGUCCUGACAAGAGAUUUAUCAGUUGUUUAGAAGCAUUCAUCCACAAGUUUCAAAAUCUAUCUAGCACUUCCAGUUUUGGAAAGAGUUUUGUUUUCUUUGAAUAGGUAACAACUAAGUAUUGGCUACCAAUACUUGGGAACCAAAAAAACUCUCUACAAAAGAAAGUGCAAAACAGAAAAUAACAAAAACAAGGUGAGACGGGAUACAAUUCUAACAUGAAUCAAAAACUAGGAUUGUCUAUGUGUCUUCAGGAUAUGACUUUAUACACCAAAAAAAAUAGCAGAACACCACUGAGCUUGAUCUUCCAUAUGGUGCUACUUUUAUUCUCAAAACAUCCGCAAUUCCUUUCUUUCCAAAUGGUCCACCAAAUAUGCGCCAGAAUCAACCCCCAAUUUCUUCUGCUCAUUGCCCAGACUCCUUUUGCUCUUAGCCCCAAAGCCGCUUCAUCCCAGUUUUGGAAAGAAUUAGUCUUAAUGUUGCUCGUAAUAUUCAUUCAAUUAACAUUAGGCUUAUGACUUAAAUGGUAGAUCGGUCCCAAUGCUACUUCCAAUAACAGCAAUUGGCUUCUCAUUAUACAGUGCGGAAUCAAGAUCUAACACUCCAACAUGGAAUUUGAUCUAUUCACAUCAAUGUUGGAAGUUAAGUUAGCGAAUCAAAUUGUAGUUUCCUUAGGUAGCCACCGAUCUACGGUUAUCCUUAAACUUCCGUGCUUGGCGGAGAAGAAGCGAACAAAAGACGCUCGCUUGUUGUCUUGUUCUCUAUCGCGAACAAGGAUCGUUUACCAUUUCGGUUAGAUUGGAGAAAGAUUUUCUGAGAACACAUUCCCCGUAUCAAGGGAAGGUCAUAACAAAAGCAGAGUGUGAACGAAGAGUAAAUGCUACAAAUAAAAUAUGUUAAUUUGUUAAUGCUUUGAGUUAUAACCCAAACAUACUAUCAGAUUAAAAAAUUGUAUAUUUAUUAUUAAAUGUAUAGUCAUAUUCUCCUUUGGGAAAAAUAUGAAAGUACAAAUUUAGACAUGCUCAAUAAAAUUAAAACAUUAUUCGAUAAUCUAUAAUGCGCCAAUUAGUAAUAUUUACUAUCAUUGAUAUAAAACAAACUAAUGGCACAUUAACCUCAAUUUACCAAUUUAAAAAAAAAAACUAAUGGCACAUUAAAAUUAUCAAUGUGUAAUUCAACAAUUAUAAGAACAAACGAUUAACCAUGUAGCAUUUCUUGAAUAUCUUGAGCAAAAGUUCUUGAACUUUCUAGUUCUGAGAAACUGUUUUCUCUCCUUCGGAUUACUUUCUUCCUUGCGCUAAUCGAUAAAAAUAACUAUGAAUUGCAAUUGAGAGAGGACUAGUUUCUAAAGACCACUUUAUACUCCAAUUACACAUAAAGUAAGAGUAUAUCACUAAGCUACUCUUUUCUUAAUGUGCAACUGUGAAUUCAUUAUGAGCUAUUUAUUUAUAGCAGGAUUGUACAAGCACGAUGUGUGUCAUGUUGACGAGGUAUGCACGCUAAACCAUGUCAUGCUUACUUGCCAAAAUUUAUCAGCCACAUUAUCGUACAUUGUGAAUGGAUACCAUCUAAUCAUGGAACAGUCACAUAAUUUUUCACCUUCCAUCAAUGGGGAGUUAUUCAAUUCUGUUACAAAGUUGUGCUAUAAAUUCUAACCAAUACACUUUUAUCAGCCCUUUUAUUUAUUAAACCCAAUUUAAACACAUGAAACAUAUGUCUUACAGAGUGAAAAGCAAAUCUUCAAACCAGUGGUUUGAUUAAACCCAAUUUAAACACAUGGAACAUAUAUCAUACAGAGUAAACAACAAUUCUUCAAUUCAGUGAUUUGAAUUCAUUAAACAACUGAGGAAAAAAAAGCAUCACAUGAAAAAACAUACAAAGGUUUGCAUCGGCGAUACAUUCAAUUGUAAAAGUAAGUUGAUUUGAUGCAUAAACAAAUGAAAGCGUCAAUUAAGCAUGAACGAUCCGAUAGCAUACCUGAAUGACUAGCGCUGAAUGGAUCGAUUGUAGACGGAGGAAAAGAGAGAAAGCAGAGUAACGUACGGAUCUAAAAGCAAAUCAGGUACCAAAUCAUGUGAAUUGGAUUGCUUCAGAACAACGGUUAACGGAAUCCGCCCAGAAACGAGAAUGCAGAUGCUGUGUUCUGUGGCGGGCGGCGGAUCGAAUGAGGAGAAUUUUUUAGAUGAAAAUCCGUAACUGUAGAGUAGAGUGUCAAUUUAUAUGUGUGCCCGAUAUAGAAGAGGGGAAGUGAAAAGAAGAUUCACCUCCUUUUUGGGUAAAAUUACUUAAAAGUGCCAGUGGUAGUUUAAAAUAUAGUCUAGUAGUAAAAGAAGGUUCUAAUUCGAUUAAAAGAAAAUGACUGCACUUGGACCUGAUUAGGACAGGCAGAUUUUCCUAUUUUUGUGACGACGACGGAGGGCCACGUGCAAUAAUCCACCAAUAAACUCCUGCCACGUCACUAUGGAAAUGUUGCUGUUGCCAAGUCAGCUCCGUGGGUUUUUUUUAAGAAAAAGAAUUAAAGUAUUACUUUAAAUCCUAGUUCCAAUUGUUUUUAGUGUUGAUUUGUGCAGACUUGCUUUAAUCGUUGAACUUCUGAAAAAGUUUUGUUACUCCCUCGAUUUACUUCCCUUUUUUGGUUAGAAAUAUAAUAAUUUACUCCUGCUAAUUUUAAAAUGUUCAUUUCAAUCUAAAUAAAAUGAUUUCUAGUUAUAUAAAUAUUGAUGACUCAUUUUAUGAUUUUUAUUGGAGUCUCAAAAAAAUAUCUUACUCUGUGUCAAGCCAAAUAUAUAUAAAAAACGAAAAAAGUACUACAUAGAAAUCGAGAAAAACUAUGGAAGAAUUAGACCAAAUAUUCAUUGGGUCAAAAUCUCUUAUCAAAAAUAACUUUGACUACUGAAUGGUUAUUCGGCACAUUUUAUUUUCAGCCGAAGUGCAUUUAGUUGCACUAAUCUUCUACUUCUCUUCCUUCUUCAGUCUUUUCGCUUCUUCGCUUCUUGCUUCUUCUUUGCUUCUUUUAGCCAUUAAACCUUCUUUAAAAGGUUGAUUUUAAAAUUUGAUCUGUCGUAGACAUAAAUUAUUUCGAGUGAAUAAUUCAAAACACUUGAAACAUUGAGAUGAGCUUAUAUCUAAAAUUUGAGACUAUUUAGCGGAGAUUUUGAGUUGGUCGAGAUUGAAAAACUCCAUUAGCCAUUAAAACUUCUUCAAAGUAAUUCUAAAAUUCGACGUUCCGCAAAUGAAAAUCAUUUCUUGAAUAAUAUAUCAAGACUCAAACAUUAAAAGGAAUUCAUAUCUAAAAUUUGAGGGUUUUUAGAGGAUAUUUGAGUUGAUUGGGAUUGAGAAAAAUAUUGCAUAAACAGCAUAUAUGAAUGUAUAUACAUCUCCAAUACAUUGUUAUACAUAUACGAAAAAAUAUAUAUAAUUGUAUAUAGAUCUCUGAUAUAUGAUUAUAUAUUAUUACAUAUAUAUACGGUUAUAUAUUAUUUAUACAAUAUGAUAUAUUACGUAUACGUGUGGCCAUUUGUUGAGAAAAAAUUGUCACAUGUAGUAAGAAGCCCAAAACGAUUAUCCAAAUAAUUUGGCCCACUUGUGUUGAACCUUGGUACAAUAAAUACGUGUAGUGAAUUGUCAAUUUCUUUUUGAAAACCUUGGUCUAAUUUUUUUUAGAAACUAAUCUUAAACAGAUCUUAUGCUCAUAUUUUACCCACAAAUAGUUCCAAGAUCUCCCAAUUUAAAGGCAGUACCAUUGAAUAAUAUUUCCACCUAAGACUCUACCCUCUUCAACCUUUCGAUCAUUCCACAACUCACGAUUGCAUUUGGUCGUGACAACAAUUUUAAAUGGUUUUUUGAUCUCUGUAUGUAUAUAUCCUAAUGGUAUUUGAAUUUUCUUAUUUUAAUUUGCUUCUAAACCAAUCUUAUUUCAUGUUUCCUACUUUUCUGAAUAGGUACGGAGUGGAAAGAGCUGCAAAAGAAGAUCGAUGGGUGACGGGAAAGGGGGAAGAGAAAUGGUAAAGAGGUGAAAGUCUGGACUCUGGACUGGAAUGGGAGAACACUGGAAGUGUUGGAUUAUAGAGGAAUAGGGGUCAUCUCCAUCUCUUUUUAUACUAAAAUCUAACUUGGGAUUUACCGGUGUAACAUUCAAUAAAUUGAUGAAAACAUGUGUUUUUGUUUCCUUUACUCAUAAAAAACAUUGAGUUAGUAAAACGAUCACGAUAAAUAUUGCCUCUCAGUUCUGAUAAAAUUUAACACAUCCCUGAUGAAAGAACGACAAAGGAAGCCGGUUUAUUCAGUCAUAUAAAUUUAAAAAAAUUAAGGAAAAAAGGGGUAAAAAAAGAAAGAGAACAAAAUUUCUCUCACCUCCUGAAGUCUCUCUCUCUCCUAAAGUUACAUGUGAACAACACAUAAAGCUAACUCAAACUUUCACCUCUCUAUUUGUCUAGACAGCAAUUGUCUGAUUUUUAGGCUGAUGAAGCCCCAUCCAAAUCUUGUCAAUUGCCACCAGUUUAACUCUGUUGCAGCAUUCACCGUUUCCCAGCAGGUUUCCUAGCAGGGAUAUCCUCCUCAUCUGACUCGACAUCUCCAUACUCCCACAUCGCGAACCUCUUUUCUCGUGCUUCUGUUUGAUACUUCUCCAAUUCAUCCAGAGCCUGUUGUUUGUCCUUGGGCUCCCACCUCUUCCUUUUCUCCAUCCUAGCAAGUCCUUCCUGAAAAUUUUAUAGGUCCCUCGUUAUAACACCGCCAGCGGGAAAAAAAAAAUAAUGCUUAAAGGGACGGAGGAAAAUGGCAGCACUAGGAAUUUCAAACCAAACUCUACCAGAUAAAAAAUGGUAUUAACUAAAUGGAAUUUGAACAGCCAAAUGAUAUUGUAGGGGUACUGAACAGGGACCUAGUGGCUAUUGAAAAACUCAGCAGAAUCCGAAAGCAAUAGAAAUGAGUAAAAUAAUGUUAAAUCGUAAUUAAAAUAAAAGUGGCUAUUAAUUUCGAACCUUAAGCAAGGUAGCAUUUAUGCUGAUAUCACUUUCAGGAUCAACCAAAGUCACCAGAAAGACUGUUCCUGUUCCUUGACCUUUAACUUUUCCACCUGAAGCAUCUUUCUCCUCAAUAACAGCUCUAAAUUCCUUUGGCCCACUUAGAAGAAGCUCACUGAGCCGGUAUGCUGCCUCCUGACCAUAAUCAUCUUCUAGCCCAGGAACUUUAACAUAAGCAAGACUGCAGAGCUGAGCAAGACCAGGACUGGAGGACACAGAUGCUUCAAGAGGCCGCAACUGACUGUAUGAAACAACUUCUUGGUUUCCAUAAUCAACAUAGAAAACUUCAAACUUGUCUUUGGAAGAUUCCACAGCACCACGAGGGGCAUUGACAAUCUUAAACAUAUUUAAAAGUGAAAAAUCAGAAAAAGAAUAUGAUAUGACAAAGAAAUAACAUAAUAAAAUCACCUAUAUCCUUCAGAAGACAUGAAGCUUCAGUAAUCUAGAAUAAUGACCCAACAAAGAACUGCAUUGGAUUAACUAAAGAAUAAGGGCUUAUGGGACACAACUAGAUGGUGAAAAAAGUUCAAUUCAUUAGACAAAAGCAGCAGCAAGACCAAGUAAGGUAUUUUUAAAGAGCUAGGGACAUCACAUGAGCAGGGAUUUACUAAUAAUAUAUAUGUGUAAGUGCCAAAGCAAACACUAGAUUAACUUAUACAGUUUAUGUGAUGACACAAAAAAGUAGUUCAGUUCAAGCCAUAAGUUUAUUUGAUUGGAAUGGGAAAGCACACAUUCCAACUUCCUUUGAUACAUAAAAAGUAGCAACAGUAAUGUUUCAAGUGAAAUAUACCAAAUAGUAGUUUAGAAGAUUUAACUGUUUGACUUCAUACAACUAUCCAAACUAGUAAUUUACAUUCAUAUUAUAGAAUACACAAAGUUAGGGUACUCAGUAAUUCAAGUCAUAUCUUCAACUGUUUUAAGGCUUAUGGAACUACAUAAAUAAAAUAAAGUAAGAGCAAUAGAAUUAUUGGAUCACAUACCAUUGCUCGGUUCCAUGAAUUAUCAGCACUGAAUUGAGCAAGAACCAUAUCACCCUUCUUUGGAUUAAAUGCACCAAUGACAGGAGCCUCCUGAAGAUUUAGAGAAGCAAGUUGCUUCUGAAUGGCGGCUACUUUCUGGUCGGAAACCAACUGAACGUAAAAUUUACCCCCACCCAGAAUUUCAGUGACUGUGACCUGAGAACAUAAUCAUGUAAAAGUAUAGAAGUCAGAAAAUCAUAACACGAAAUAGUAUUCACAAUGCACCCGAUGGUAAAUUAUGACAAACAAUAGUUAACUGAGAAGCACUAGAUCUAAUUACAUUACCUUCACCUCUUCUUUUUGGCGUCUUUCAGCUGUUCCACUACUGACAACUUCCUCUCCCUCGACAUAAUUCUCCCAUAUCUAUAUCGAGGCACUUGUUAAUAACUAAUAAAGAACAAAUUCAUGACUAAUAAGUAUAACAGAUCUUGCUCUUGCCUUCAAUUUCUGCCUUUUGGCGGCCUGUUCAGCUUGCAUGAGGAGGUGAACUUCGGCGAUUCUAUCAGUUCCAAAAGAAGUUUGAAGCUUUGCUAAACCAGCUUCCAGUAGAGUCACCGCCACAUUGGAUCUUGAUUCCCAUAAUGUUCCAAUGAAAGUCCCUGUUCUGUCAACUGUUUCUACCUCGAUCUACGUAGAAGGCAAAAAUAAAGAAAUAAGAGAGAAAUUCAUGUGUAGCACAUAACAAAACUAAGAAAGAAAAAAUAUUACCUCAACAUCCCUCUGCAUUAUCUUCCGCCUCAUCAAGGCAAUGGCUUCCUCAGAGUAGGGCUCAUCACGACCUGGGCAUCUCACUCCAGAAAUAGAGAAAGCAAUGCUGCAAGUCUCCUUGGGAAUGAACAGUUUGAAUCUAUGACCACUGAGGACAUAUUCUACAACAGCAGACAUCCUCCUGUUACGUUGCAAGAAAGGCAAAAAGUCUCUAGCUUUCUUUGACGCUGCCUGAAAGUCAAACAGAAAAAAUUAGUUAUUCCUUAGCACCACAUAAAAAGAGAGCCAGUGGCAAGGAUACUAACCGUUAGCAGGUCUGUUACAUGCAUCACUGGAGCUUCUUUAGGAGAAUGAAUACCCUUUUUCCCAGAAGUAGCACGUGAUUCUGCGGAGAGAAGGGCAUCAUAAUAGUUUGAACGUUCUUCAAAAUCACGAUGUCUAACAACAGUUGCGAAACCGCGGGCAACCAAAAGCUCAGCAACAUUGACUCCAGCCAACUGGUUGCCUGCAGCAGAUGGAGCAGGUGAUGCAUCAUCCCCAUCUUUGGAUGCCAGGAAUACAGUUCCAAAAUCCAUCACCCUUGAAUCUGCACCACUGGUGGGAGCAGCAGGUCCAUCUGCCAUUCCGACCUUCCGUGAGUACUCCAUGGAAACAUGCAC
rnacentral:lncRNA from 1 species